CAGCAUGUUUCCAAGGGCUGUGGCCGGCUGUGGCCAUGGGAUCUCCAACUGCAUGCCAGAGCAACCUGGAGAGACUUUGACAGCACAGGUCAGCAUAGUACCUGCGGCUGCCACUCGCCUUUCCUAUAUCA
ensembl:snoRNA